UUGGUCGAAUUGAGGUUUUUCUGGACUGCUGUUGGCUUUGAGCUGAAAAUGGGAUUUUUGAGUUUUUCUUGAUGUUAACUUUGUUGGCAGUGGGAUUUUGGACCUGAGAUUGUUCACCCAUUAGUAGUUGCUGGAUUUGGAUCUGUCCUCACCCGAUUUGGAGAUCAUUAGGUGAGUUUUGACAUUGGAAUGGAGAUAAUUAAGCUUAAGUGCUGAAAUUUUGAUAAAUUGAUGGUUUUUAUUGGAUUUUUGGGUGAAUUGUAAAUCCAGAUCUUGAGGGGCUUUGUUGCUGGUUUGGAGGUGUUUCCAGCAGUGUUGCUUGUGAUCCGAGACCAUCUUGCUGCCAGGAAUUGCACUAGAGGUGGGUGUAUCAUCGGUUUCGCUCCUAAGUGCAUGUUUAGUCGACGUGUAUAGUUCGAUUUUUGUAUAUCAUGCUUUAAUUCAUCGAUUAGUAUUUUGAAUGUAAUAUGAAUGUAGAAGCAUGCUGAAAUGAAUGUUUAUAUUAUACAUGUUGGACUUGAAAUUUGACUUAGGAGAAAACCUGCGUUUUGACCCGUCAUAUGCUUAAACUACCAGAUUUAGCUCUAGGAGCCGUGAUUCGAUUGUAUCGUUGCAGUAUCAGUGCGAUGGAUACCUGGGGUAGUUUAGAAAGCAUUUACGCUCGUGCUGGGGUGCCGAGCUUAUUUUUUAGCAGAGUAUAGGCUGUUUCGGGUCGUUGGGUGCCGUUCGGGUUAGCGGUGGACCCAGAUUCUUGUUUUGGUCACAGAUUGUGCCGAGGGCACGUGGGUUUGGUUUGUAGACCUGUUUUGACCCUGUUUACUUGACUUUGGCUAGUUGGAGCCUGUUUGAGCUCGACAGAGAUACGCUGCAUACUCGGUUGGGUAGUGCCCACGAGUGCCACUCCGGAGUCAGGCUUUGUGCUUUCGCGUUGGUGUCGCUCAUGCCGGUUGGACUUGCUCUCCACGGACCAGUUGUGUGGAUAGAGCCUGAUAGUUGCAACUGGGCAGGGACAGGUGUGUUCACAGUCCCAGGGACGGGUAUGUCUACAGUCCCGAUUGGAUUGGAUCAGAUUUGAUAUUUCCUACAGUUGGUUAGUGUAGAGCAUGAUAGUAUAGUGAUUCGUAGCGGUUGAGUUUAUUUCCUGCUUUUUGGCUAUUCUUGCUCCCUUCUGUAGACUUAGUGGGUGGACCGAUGUUGUUUUGGGCGGUACCCACUGAGGACUACUUGUUUUUACAGUAGUUCUCAUGCCCAGUUGUUAUCCUUGUUUUGCAGAGCCACAGGUUUCGGCUGCUGCGCCUUCCGCGGAUCAGGAUCGAGGCAAGGGCGUCGCGAGUUAGAGCCCUACACGACGUGCUGAGCUAGAGGUGCCCCUACUGCAGGUAGAUGUUUUGUUUCGAGUUUAUGUACAUAGUGGACUUAACUCGCCAGUGCGAGUA
rnacentral:lncRNA from 1 species